CUAAAGAGCAGGUCUGAUGUCUUACAGAUGGACGACUGACACUCCCUCGACAAUCAACGCUCCAGAUUGCAACGAUAAGAAAGCUGUAGGGCAACAAUUCAGCCGUCACGACUUUGCAAGUGGAUGCAGUGUUUCCUGUCGUGUUUGUUGGACUGUGAAUGAUGGGCCACCUCCACCUUCCUGCCUUUAUUGUAAGAGGGUCAUGGAGGAGAACACAAACUGCACCUUGAACCAGCUGACCUGCAACCAGAGCUCGAGUGACACUUUAAAGAAGGGUCAACCACAUGUGCAUUUCAUCAAGCGAUAACUUGACGACCUUUACAGAGAACAGUACUGUGACCAUUAUUGUCCAGAAACUGAGAGCCGUCAAUCAUCUGUAUUCCUGCACUCAACAGAAUGUCUGAGAACAUUGUGAAAGAACAGCUGCCAUCUGAGUCAGUUAUAGAGUUUAAAGGUUAAUUUAAGAAGUUUCGUUGAAUGUAAAGUCAUUUAGGUUAAUAAUUAACACACCAUUGAUUAAUUUUUAAACUGUUUUAAUGCUUCUUUUGGUCUAACUGUGAUGAAUCUGAUGUAUAUUCUUUCAACUACAAAUUAAAGUGCCUUAAUGUGA